AUUGAACGCUGGCGGCAUGCCUUACACAUGCAAGUCGAACGGCAGCACGGGUGCUUGCCCCUGGUGGCGAGUGGCGAACGGGUGAGUAAUACAUCGGAACAUGUCCUGUAGUGGGGGAUAGCCCGGCGAAAGCCGGAUUAAUACCGCAUACGAUCUACGGAUGACAGCGGGGGACCUUCGGGCCUCGCGCUAUAGGGUUGGCCGAUGGCUGAUUAGCUAGUUGGUGGGGUAAAGGCCAACCAAGGCGACGAUCAGUAGCUGGUCUGAGAGGACGACCAGCCACACUGGGACUGAGACACGGCCCAGACUCCUACGGGAGGCAGCAGUGGGGAAUUUUGGACAAUGGGCGAAAGCCUGAUCCAGCAAUGCCGCGUGUGUGAAGAAGGCCUUCGGGUUGUAAAGCACUUUUGUCCGGAAAGAAAUCCUUGGCCCUAAUACGGUCGGGGGAUGACGGUACCGGAAGAAUAAGCACCGGCUAACUACGUG
rnacentral:rRNA from 1 species